rnacentral:rRNA from 1 species
CAGUAGCCGCGGUAAUACGGAGGGGGCUAGCGUUGUUCGGAAUUACUGGGCGUAAAGCGCACGUAGGCUGCUUUGUAAGUCAGAGGUGAAAGCCUGGAGCUCAACUCCAGAAUUGCCUUUAAGACUGCAUCGCUUGAAUCCGAGAGAGGUGAGUGGAAUUCCGAGUGUAGAGGUGAAAUUCGUAGAUAUUCGGAAGAACACCAGUGGCGAAGGCGGCUCACUGGCUCGGUAUUGACGCUGAGGUGCGAAAGCGUGGGGAGCAAACAGGAUUAGAUACCCGCGUAGUCCCUGUCUCUUAUAC